UGAGUAAUACAUCGGAACGUGUCCUGUAGUGGGGGAUAGCCCGGCGAAAGCCGGAUUAAUACCGCAUACGAUCUACGGAAGAAAGCGGGGGAUCCUUCGGGACCUCGCGCUAUAGGGGCGGCCGAUGGCAGAUUAUCUAGUUGGUGGGGUAAAGGCCUACCAGGGCCACUAUCUGUAUCUGGUCUGAGAGGACGACCAGCCACACUGGGACUGACACACGGCCCACACUCCUACGGGAGGCAGCAGUGGGGAAUUUUGGACAGUGGGGGCAACCCUGAUCCAGCAGUGCCGCGUGUGUGAAGAAGGCCUUCGGGUUGUAAAGCACUUUUGUCCGGAAAGAAAACCAUCGCCCUAAUAUGGUGGUGAGAUGACGGUACCGGAAGAAUAAGCACCGGCUAACUACGUGCCAGCAGCCGC
rnacentral:rRNA from 1 species